rnacentral:rRNA from 1 species
CAGCCGCCGCGGUAAUACGUAGGUGGCAAGCGUUAUCCGGAAUUAUUAGGCGUAAAGCGCGCGUAGGCGGUUUUUUAAGUCUGAUGUGAAAGCCCACGGCUCAACCGUGGAGGGUCAUUGGAAACUGGAAAACUUGAGUGCAGAAGAGGAAAGUGGAAUUCCAUGUGUAGCGGUGAAAUGCGCAGAGAUAUGGAGGAACACCAGUGGCGAAGGCGACUUUCUGGUCUGUAACUGACGCUGAUGUGCGAAAGCGUGGGGAUCAAACAGGAUUAGAUACCCGAGUAGUCCCUGUCUCUUAUAC